GGGACUACCGGCUGAACUUAAGCAUAUCAAUAAGCAGAGGAAAA
rnacentral:rRNA from 1 species